rnacentral:rRNA from 1 species
CUAAGGCUAAAUACUCUCUAGUGACCGAUAGUGAACCAGUACCGUGAGGGAAAGGUGAAAAGUACCCCGGAAGGGGAGUGAAAGAGAACUUGAAACCGUGUGCUUACAAGUAGUCAGAGCCCGUUAAUGGGUGAUGGCGUGCCUUUUGUAGAAUGAACCGGCGAGUUACGAUCUGAUGCAAGGUUAAGCAGGAGAUGUGGAGCCGUAGCGAAAGCGAGUCUGAAUAGGGCGUUGAGUAUUUGGUCGUAGACCCGAAACCAGGUGAUCUACCCAUGGUCAGGUUGAAGUUCAGGUAACACUGAAUGGAGGACCGAACCGACUUACGUUGAAAAGUGAGCGGAUGAACUGUGGGUAGCGGAGAAAUUCCAAUCGAACUUGGAGAUAGCUGGUUCUCUCCGAAAUAGCUUUAGGGCUAGCCUCAAGUGAUGAUUAUUGGAGGUAGAGCACUGUUUGGACGAGGGGCCCCUCUCGGGUUACCGAAUUCAGACAAACUCCGAAUGCCAAUUAAUUUAACUUGGGAGUCAGAACAUGGGUGAUAAGGUCCGUGUUCGAAAGGGAAACAGCCCAGACCACCAGCUAAGGUCCCAAAAUAUAUGUUAAGUGGAAAAGGAUGUGGCGUUGCCCAGACAACUAGGAUGUUGGCUUAGAAGCAGCCAUCAUUUAAAGAGUGCGUAAUAGCUCACUAGUCGAGUGACACUGCGCCGAAAAUGUACCGGGGCUAAACAUAUUACCGAAGCUGUGGAUUGUCC